rnacentral:rRNA from 1 species
UUCGAAAGAAAGAUUAAUACCUGAUGGUAUGAUGAGAUUGCAUGAUAGCAUCAUUAAAGAUUUAUCGGUGUACGAUGGGGAUGCGUUCCAUUAGGUAGUAGGCGGGGUAACGGCCCACCUAGCCAACGAUGGAUAGGGGUUCUGAGAGGAAGGUCCCCCACAUUGGAACUGAGACACGGUCCAAACUCCUACGGGAGGCAGCAGUGAGGAAUAUUGGUCAAUGGACGAGAGUCUGAACCAGCCAAGUAGCGUGAAGGAUGAAGGUCCUACGGAUUGUAAACUUCUUUUAUAAGGGAAUAAACCCUCCCACGUGUGGGAGCUUGUAUGUACCUUAUGAAUAAGCAUCGGCUAACUCCGUGCCAGCAGCCGCGGUAAUACGGAGGAUGCGAGCGUUAUCCGGAUUUAUUGGGUUUAAAGGGAGCGCAGACGGGUCGUUAAGUCAGCUGUGAAAGUUUGGGGCUCAACCUUAAAAUUGCAGUUGAUACUGGCGUCCUUGAGUGCGGUUGAGGUGUGCGGAAUUCGUGGUGUAGCGGUGAAAUGCUUAGAUAUCACGAAGAACUCCGAUUGCGAAGGCAGCACACUAAUCCGUAACUGACGUUCAUGCUCGAAAGUGUGGGUAUCAAA